AUUCCAUGAUGGGGACAUUCUAGGAUGUAGUCUUGAAAGCGCUCCCAGGCUUCUGGAACAGAUUCAUCAUUUUGUUGCUGAAAACUUGUAAUCUUCCCACGGAGAGC
rnacentral:snoRNA from 1 species